rnacentral:tRNA from 1 species
UUUCAUAUGGUAGAUUAGUACAUUAAAUUUAAGAUUUAAUUAAAAAAUAUAUAUUUAAAUUAUUUUUAUGAAAA